CCUACGGGAGGCAGCAGUGAGGAAUAUUGGUCAAUGGCCGAGAGGCUGAACCAGCCAAGUCGCGUGAGGGAAGACGGCCCUACGGGUUGUAAACCUCUUUUGUCGGGGAGUAAAGCGAACCACGUGUGGCUUUUUGAGAGUACCCGAAGAAAAAGCAUCGGCUAACUCCGUGCCAGCAGCCGCGGUAAUACGGGGGAUGCGAGCGUUAUCCGGAUUUAUUGGGUUUAAGGGGUGCGCAGGGGGAGGUGCAAGUCAGCGGUCAAAUUGCGGGGCUCAACCCCGUAUUGCCGUUGAAACUGCAUCCCUUGAGUGCGCGAGAGGUAUGCGGAAUGCGUGGUGUAGCGGUGAAAUGCAUAGAUAUCACGCAGAACUCCGAGUGCGAAGGCAGCAUACCGGCGCGCAACUGACGCUCAUGCACGAAAGCGUGGGUAUCGAACAGGAUUAGAUACCCGGGUAGUC
rnacentral:rRNA from 1 species